GUGGGGAAUCUUCCGCAAUGGACGAAAGUCUGACGGAGCGACGCCGCGUGAGUGAAGAAGGCCUUCGGGUCGUAAAGCUCUGUCAUCAGGGACGAACGGCCGGUGGAGUGGAAAGCCACCGGAUUGACGGUACCUGAGAAGGAAGCCACGGCUAACUACGUGCCAGCAGCCGCGGUAAUACGUAGGUGGCAAGCGUUGUCCGGAAUCAUUGGGCGUAAAGCGCGCGCAGGUGGGAUCUUAAGUCCAUUUUGAAAGUUCGGAGCUCAACUCCGUGAUGGGAUGGAAACUGGGAUUCUUGAGUACCGGAGAGGAAAGCGGAAUUCCCCGUGUAGCGGUGAAAUGCGUAGAUAUGGGGAGGAACACCAGUGGCGAAGGCGGCUUUCUGGACGGUGUCUGACACUGAGGCGCGAAAGCUAGGGGAGCGAACGGGAUUAGAAACCCUGGUAGUCC
rnacentral:rRNA from 1 species